rnacentral:lncRNA from 1 species
GUUUGACAGGCCAAGCCCAUUUGGGUUAAUUUCCUCCGAUUUUGCCCAUUUAAAGUGUGGUCUUUAUGGUGCAAAAAUGGCCUUGUGUUGUCUUCCUUCCUUCAAUGGACUAUUUUGUAUCUGUAAAAUUUUCUUCUUGUCUCAACUGUGGAUAUAUAAACAGGUGUUCCAUACUUUACGAAGUCUCAUUGUGUAGACUUUUCCAUGUUGUGCAUUUUAGUAGAUAAUUCAUUUUCAUAUCGAGCAGCAGUAUAACUGUUGACUGUUUAUCAGUCUUGUGAUUUUACCCUUAAGUCAACUUGUGUUCUUACGCUUUUCAUUUCUAGAGCUUACCCAGAUUGAGGAUCCAAGAGAACAGUGGAGGCGAGAGCAGGAGCGGAUGUUGAAGGAGUAUUUAAUUGUAGCCCAGGAGGCUCUCAAUGCCAAGAAAGAAAUCUACCAGAUCAAGCAGCAGCGGUUGGAGCUGGCUCAGGAGGAGUACCAGCAACUGCACACACUAUGUGAGGAUGACAGCCGCUCAUAUGCCAGCUCCUUCUCUGGAUAUUCAGCAAAUACAAAGUAUGACCCCCACCAAAUUAAAGCAGAAAUAGCAAGUCGUCGGGAUAGGCUUUCCAGAUUAAAACGGGAGCUGGCCCAGAUGAAGCAGGAGCUACAGUACAAAGAAAAGGGCGUGGAGACCCUGCAAGAGUGAGUUGCCUGUGUGUGUGAUGGAAACAUUUUCCUCUUGUCCUGACCCACUUGGUACCUGGACCUUCACCCAAAAGCUUCAUAACCUUCGUGUUUGUGCCUUCAUCAAUGCUCGUUAUUUGCCAGUCCUAAGCAUCAGAGCCUCUUUUCCUUGAAGAUACCUUUGUUCUUUUAAGUGGAAAUACCCGGGAAAUAAGACCUUUAAUUUUUAUAUUUAUGUAUUUCUCUCUAUAACUGCACUGCCUAAGACACAUAUGACCAUUUACCUUUAAAUUCAGGGU